CUGGGGGCUCAGCAGUGCCCGGCACAGAGCUCCGGGUACGGACAGGGAGCAGAAAAAAAGCAGGCAGAGUCUCUCGAAGCAUCCCCGCUCCCUCUGUCGGCUUUCUGUUCUUUCUACGGCAGCUUUCUAUUGAUGCAAUCUUAUUUUUGGAAGCGUUUUUAGGCAGGCAUUACCGGCCUCAGCAGAACCAAGGAUAGAUUGGAAAGAUAUAGGGGGGGAAAAAAAAUAAAUAAAUAAGAGGCUAUAAAGGGCAGAAGAUAUUUUUAAGCAGAAAGGGUGGGGUGAUCUGCAGCACGGGUAUGGGAUGGGGAGAAGCUGCUGUUGGUGCAUCACAUUUGGCAGCAGGUAGGAUGGGGUUUGCAAGCAUCCAUGCGUUGCAGGCAGCAGAGCUGGGGGGUCUGGGGGGCCACAGUGCUGCUCCUGCAAAACCCGAGCAGCUGCACGUAAAGCAGAAUUGUCAGGAAUGUGAGUGCCAAAGACUGAAAAAAAAAAAAAAAGAAAGGGGAAAAAAAGCCCACUCUGAGAAUGAAGAUGCUCGGAGAGAGACAGCAAAGAGCGUGAGGUCAGAGAGAGCAGCUUAUGCAAAGGCUUGAAAGAAGCAAGGGAGCGUAGCAAGAGUGGGAGCCCAGCCUUCAGCCGCCUGACAGCUGGUAGGGGAGGAAGAAAAUGAAUUCAGGUGUUGAUUAAGAGGGAUCCACAGCUGAAGAUGCUGUGCUUCCCCCCGCUGCAGCCCUUUCCCCUUCCAGAUGCUCUGGGAGAGAGGCUGCCAUCCUUGUUUUGAUUUUGCAGCCCUACACCCCGAGGUUAUUUGGCCACAGCGGCGAUGUGAGCUCAGCUCCUCCAGGACACGGCUCAGUGCUCUGCCUCCUCCCGGAGCCGCUCUGCCUUCAGCAGGUGGCCCUGACAGAUUGAGGUUUGCAGCCUUCAUGGUGGGAAACACAGCUCCAAAAUCCUGGAAACGUGUGAAGGUUGCAAUCUGAUUCCGCUGCUUUCUCUGCUCCCCUCCUCCCCAUCCGAAAAGCACAGCUGAUGCCAAAGGGAGCGUGUGGGGGGGGGAAGGAAAAACUCCAAACCUCCCAGGGAAACUGGAAAUCUAUGUAGGACUCAAUCCAAAGAUUGAUGGAAUAAAUCACAGCCUGGGACUGUGAGAGCAGCAGGUUGCUUUGGAGGAAGCAGUUCCUGAUUUCUGGCUCCUGAGGAGUGGGAUCAGGGGGGUCCGGGCUGCUCGGCAGGCGCUGGUGCCCCAAAUCCCAAGGGGAGGAAUGGCUCCAAUGGUUGCUUAAAUCCAGCAGUGCGUGUGUUUCCCAUGCACAGCUAUCCAAAGGGGGUUUCAGCCUGAUGUGGGCGAGCAGAGCUGCUGGGCGCUUCGCUGCCUGUGGGAGGAUGGUGCUGUGCUGGGGAUGCUGUGGAAGGAGCCCUGUGACAGCCCCGGUGCCCAGGAGACCCAGCAGCCAUCCCCACUGCCCACAGUCCCUCCCUACAGGCGGCUUCACACCGCGGUUGGGCUGCUGCUGGUGGGGAUGCUGCAGACAAAGAGCCCUUUGAAGGCUUUGGAGCUCUGAGUCAAGGGUUGGCCAUGCCCCUGCACCGAUGGGUGAGGGCUGGGGCAAGUUUGUCUCAAUUGAUGGCUUUAUCCUUUCUUUCCUCUCUCUUUGCUCGGUUUGGAGCUCCAUAGCAGAAAGCGAAGCCAGAUGGCUGCAGUCUCACUGAGCUCACAUUGCUCAGGAUCGUGGAUACCCUGGGGACCCCCGUGUGUGGUGUGGGGCUCAGUGGGCACCCAGCGCGUGGCUGCAAGGCUGCUGGGGCCAUGGCUCGUGGCCUGCAGGGCUCAUGGACCCUUAGGGCUCCCA
ensembl:lncRNA